rnacentral:rRNA from 1 species
CACGAACCGUACGAACGUUAUUCGGAAUUACUGGGCUUAAAGGGUUGUAGGCGGCUUUGUAAGUCAGGUGUGAAAGCCCUCGGCUCAACCGAGGAACAGCGCUUGAUACUGCAAGGCUUGAGGAGACAGGGGUAAGCGGAACUGAUGGUGGAGCGGUGAAAUGCGUUGAUAUCAUCAGGAACACCGGUGGCGAAAGCGGCUACUGGGUCUCUUCUGACGCUGAGGAACGAAAGCUAGGUAGCGAACGG